GCACUCGCACUCGCACUCGCACUCACACUCACACUCCCUCUCUUUCUCAUUCUCUCAUUCGUUCUUCCUCUCUCAGGUGCGAAGGAGUGGAUGCACCAAUCUGGGUGCUUAGCAGAGGAGUGGCUUCGACGGUGCCGUGGGUGCGUCUGGGAUGGAGACAUGGCGUCUAAAGCAUUAUGAUGCUGAGAAAGGAUGGACUGGAAUAGAGCUCGGGCUAUUAUAUGAUAAAAUGAUGGAGUUAAGGGGUCAACAUCCUCUAGAAGAACUGUCUGAUAAAGAGAUUAUGGAGCGUGUACUUGGACGUGAUUCGGUAUACUUGUAAGGGUGGGGGUGGUCUCCUAGUGUCACAACUUCUACUUCACAUCGUGAAAAUAUUGUGGGUAAUCAACCAACUUAUGAAGAGUUAGUUGAACAACUUAAUGAUACAACUUCCCGCCUUUGUGGAUAUACUUCGUCAUAACAAUUUGAUGGCACCGCCUCCACCACCUCCAACAGACCAAGCUUCAGCUGCAAAUUUAAGAGAGUCGCCAUCUUUUUCAGUUCGGGAGUCACAAGAUGAUUCUUAGUUUAUUUACAUUAAUUUACUAAGGAAUGAACUUUUUUUUUAUUUUGG